AACGAACGCUGGCGGCACGUUUUAAGCAUGCAAGUCGAAUGGCAGCAGGGGCAACUCUGUGAGAAUGGCGAACGGGUGAGUAACACGUAGGUGAUCUGCCUUGAGGAUGGGGAUAGCCUGUGGAAACACAGGGUAAUACCGAAUAAGCUGACGGGACUUUGGUUUUGUUAGUAAAGGUGCUACGGCACCGCCUUGAGAGGAGCCUGCGGCUGAUUAGCUAGUUGGUGGGGUAAAGGCCUACCAAGGCGACGAUCAGUAGCCGGCCUGAGAGGGUUUACGGCCACACUGGGACUGAGCCACGGCCCAGACUCCGACGGGAGGCAGCAGCUAAGAAUCUUCCGCAAUGGGCGAAAGCCUGACGGAGCGAUGCCGCGUGAUCGCUGAAGGUCGAGAGAUUGUAAAGAUCUUUUCUACAUGAGGAAUAAGUCUGGGAGGGAAUGCCUGGAUGAUGACGUUAGUGUAGGAAUAAGCCCCGGCUAAUUACGUGCCAGCCGCCGCCGUAA
rnacentral:rRNA from 1 species